rnacentral:lncRNA from 1 species
UUGUGCUGUCUUCUAUUGAAACCAUUUCUUCAACCCCAUGUCUUCCUCUUUGUUGGUUUACUCCCUUACUUUGCUGGAGCAUAUCCGUCAGUAGUUACCUAUGAAAGAGUACCUCGUAGGUUAUGUUUUUAAGCCCAUGUCUUUAUUUCUCUUUCACACAUGAAUAAUGCAUUGGCUAGUAGUAGAAUUCUAGGUGUAUAUAUUUCCUUUCAGAAUUUUUAAGGCAAUUCUUUGUCUCAUAUCCAAUAUUGCUCCUAAGAAGACCCAUGCCAUUCUGACUUUUAAUCUCUCUGAUAUUGUUUCUAUCUGGAAGAGUUUAGGAGCUCUGAUGUACCUAUGAUAUUCUGAAAUCUCAUGGUUUCAUGGUGAGUAGGAUACUUUCUCACUAAUUGAACUGAGCCUUCACUGGGUCCUUUCAAUAAGGAAAUUGUGUCUUUCAUGUCUGGGAAAUUACAUUAAAGUAUUCUUUUGACAUUUUACUCUCAAUCAUUUCUUUUUUUCUGGAACUCAUCAUUUUGUGCUGAAUAUUUUAAAUUUAUCCUUUAGGUCUCAUGUUUUUUUUCUAUUUUUUAUGAUCUCUUUGCAAUGCUCUAUUCGUGUUUUAUGAAUGCAACAUUAUGUUUUACCUCAUCUUGUUUUUAUAAUAAACACUUAAAAGGCACUCUAUAAAUAUUGGUUAAAUGACUAAACCUCUCUGGGGAUAAUAUAAUUAUUUUAAUUAUUUUGGAGUUUAAUUAUUUUAAUAUAAUGUAUAUCUCUAAUAGAUAUAAUUUUUAUUUAAUUAUUUUUGGAGUUUUAUUCCUUUUUAUUUGUUGAUUUUGUUUGGUAUCUUUUUUGCAUGUAUGAAGUUGAGUCAUUUAGAAUUGAGCUUGUCUGAAAGCCACCAAUAGGUAGAUUUAAUUAAAUACGGCUUGUUUCCCUCAAACAAGACAGUCUAAGGUCUUGCACCUUUUCAUGAAGUCACCAAGCACCCAGGCUCUAACUGCUUGCAUUACUCUCCUAGGCUUUUGUCCAAAGGCUGCAAGAUGGCUGCUUCCUCUCCAUACAUCACACCCACAUUCUAGGUAGAUAGAGAUAGAAAAGAGGGGAGAUUAAAAGACAAAAUGUGAGGCAGUAUAGUCUGUACUUUUUAAAGAGUUUUCUUAAAAGCCCCAUGUAGGGACAUGUGCUUUUAUAUCUCAUUUACUGAGAAUGUGCCAACCCUGACUGCAGAAAGCCUGGGGAGGAGAGUGUGGGCACAUUGCUGCCCAAGCAGAAGCAGGGUUCUAAUAAGUAUGAAAGAAGGGAGAAUGGAUGUUACCAACCAGCAGCGUCUAGAGAUGGUUUGCUGUCUGUAUAUAUUUAGAAGUGAGACACUAAAAGUCUGACUUUUCAUGGGCAAGAUUGUCAACUGGAGGAUUUUCCUGAUCAGUUGGAGAUCUGACAAUUCUGACAAAGUCUGAAAAAUGUCAGCAGGUUGCUGUCUGUUUUCUAGUGUCCUUAAGAAUGGCUUUUGUUCCCAGAAAAUAUCAUUUAGAGAUUUGUUUUAUUUUUGUGUAAGAAUUAAUAUUCACGUUACAAUCUUAAAAAUCGCAUUCUUUCUUAAAUAUUUACUUGUAUUCACAAAUAUUUCUGCCUACACAGAAAAUCCAAUGCCCACUUCAUCCAGGUCUCACCUGUGAUACUCACCAGUUCAUUCACACUAAACUUGAAGCUUCAGGCAUAAUAUCCAUAUUUACACUUUUAUUUUUUUUUUUGCUUUUUAGGGCCACACCCACAGCAUAUGGAAGUUCCCAGCUAGGGUUCGAAUCGGAACUAAAGCUGCCGGCCUAUAGCACAGCUAUAGCAAUAACAGAUCCCCAAACCACUGAGCGAGGCCAGGGAUUGAACCCGCAUCCUCAUGGAUCCUAGUCAGGUUUGUCAACCACUGAGCCAUGAAGGGAACUCCUGUGUUUACACUGCUGAUGUCCGGAAGUUCUUCUCCAUCCCUGUUCCGGUCUUUGCCUUUAAGGUCUAUUCGUCCUUCAAGGCCUGGCUCAGACUGUACCCUCAGAGAGCCCCCUUAUUGGGGUGUUUCUCUCGUUGGCCCCACUCCCCUCACCACACCCCACUUUAUGAUUAGAACUGCCUUUGCCUCCUCAGGGCAGGAAGCACUGGCUGCCCAGCUGGCGUCUGACAAAGCAGGGCUUACUUCACAGUAGAUAAGCCUUGGCCCUCUUCUCCAGAACACAACAGACAUUCAGUUACUGGUCUGUGAAAGCUUCUCAGAAAUGCUGGCCGGGCAGCCGGAGGGAAGGGCUGCCCCACCAGGCGGGUGACUCCAGCCUCCCACAGAGCCAGUGGCCCCCAGGUCUGAGACACCAGCCUUGGAUGGUCUGGAGGCCUGUAGACCCAUCUCAUGGGCCUGUAAAAACCAGAUUGGCUGGGGCUUCUUUACCUGCACAGUGGCGUCCACAGUACAGAGUUCACCUCUUGUCCGUCACCCUACAGAAAUCAUGAGAAAAGCAAUGGCUGAAAUGACCAGCAGAAAGAGAAGGGCCACACAAAUCUUUGAUUAAUAAUAAGCUCAGUAAAUAAUUAAUUAAUCCCCCCAAAAUUAUAUAAACAACCCUGCCCCCCCAGGCCUGUCCCUAGAGUAUUGCAAUAGAUCUUUACACAGUGUCUAAGAAAUGCUUCCUAGCCCCUGGGAAAAUCCCUAAGUAUAAUUUCUUCUGACGCCACAAGGAUGGUUUCCACAAAAACUUUAGGACUUGUUUCUCUUUGGGAGGGACCUUCACAAGAAAUCUGUUGAGUCUGAUGGCUCUGGGUUGCCUGAGCUCUUGCCUCAUAAUUUAGGGGUACAUAAUUUAGAUCCAGAAAAUGGAGAAUGAGGCAGGUAUAACCAUCCUCACAUUACAAGUAAAGAACCUGAGAUUUAGAGAAGUAGAGUCCUACCUGGAGUUGCUGAGGAUUGGCGCUCAGAACCUGGGGUUCCACAUCCUGGGCUCUUUCUACCAUCCCAGGCUGCUUCCAUGACGAGUUAAAAAAAAAAAAAA